AUUGAACGCUGGCGGCAGGCCUAACACAUGCAAGUCGAACGAGUGGCGGACGGGUGAGUAAUGUCUGGGAAACUGCCUGAUGGAGGGGGAUAACUACUGGAAACGGUAGCUAAUACCGCAUACCAUCAGAUGUGCCCAGAUGGGAUUAGCUUGUUGGUGGGGGAACGGCUCACCAAGGCGCCGAUCCCUAGCUGGUCUGAGAGGAUGGUCAGCCACUCUGGAACUGAGACACGGUCCCGUCUCCUACGGGAAGCAGAAGUGGGGAAUAUUGCACAAUGGGCGCAAACCUGAUGCAGCCAUGCCGCGUGUAUGAAGAGGGCCUUCGGGUUGUAAAGUACUUUCGGCGGGGAGGCGUUACCCGCAGAAGAAGCACAGGCUAACUCCGUGCCAGCAGCCGCGGUAAUAC
rnacentral:rRNA from 1 species